GUCCACGCCCUAAACGAUGUCAACUGGUUGUUGGGGUUUGACACUCUCAGUAACGAAGCUAACGCGUGAAGUUGACCGCCUGGGGAGUACGGCCGCAAGGUUAAAACUCAAAGGAAUUGACGGGGACCCGCACAAGCGGUGGAUUAUGUGGAUUAAUUCGAUGCAACGCGAAAACCUUACCUACCCUUGACAUGUCCUGGAGGCUCCAGAAAUGGGGCUGUGCCCCGAAAGGGAACGGGAACACAGGUGCUGCAUGGCUGUCGU
rnacentral:rRNA from 1 species